GGCCGGUGUGACUUGUUGAGGCUUCCUUCGAGCGGACGUCCCGUGGUGGCGGCAGAGGAACACGAGGUUUUGCUUGGAGACACGAGACUCAGCUGAAGUUAUCAGUAGACUGUCAUUUGCUUUAUCUCUGCACUGCUCUGGCACAAGCGGUAGCUCAGCCAGAAGCAGCACACCUGUGGUCGGCCAGGAGGGGCAGAAGAAGGCCCUGAGGGUGUUCCUGCUACAGAGACAUGGCUUGCUGAUCAACAGAACAAAAAACGUUGCUUGUCUUGAGCCCUGACUGUGGAGCUCACCGAGGGGAACACAGGAAAUCAAAAUGGGACUUUAGUGUUACGUGGCAACUGUGGCAUUUUUUUCAUCUUGUAGCCAGACCUUCUUACCCUCUGAUUUCAGUUGAAUGGUUUACUUAGGACUAUGGGUCCAGGUGCCAGAUCUCAAUCUAGGAAGCAUUAAUCUGUGCUAGCAGAGUUGUAACUCUGACUUUUAACUCUUGUAGUAUUUUUAACUACCUUUCAUUUGCUUGCUUA